rnacentral:rRNA from 1 species
UACCGCUGCCGCCAGACGGAAGGAAAUU